rnacentral:rRNA from 1 species
GACGAACGCUGGCGGCGUGCUUAACACAUGCAAGUCGAACGGAAAGGCCCUGCUUUUGUGGGGUGCUCGAAUGGCGAACGGGUGAGUAACACGUGAGUAACCUGCCCUUGACUUUGGUAUAACUUCAUGGAACUGAUGCUAAUACCGGAUAGGAGCUCCUGCUGCAUGGUGGGGGUUGGAAAGUUUCGGCGGUUGGGGAUGGACUCGCGGCUUAUCAGCUUGUUGGUGGGGUAGUGGCUUACCAAGGCCUUGACGGGUAGCCGGCCUGAGAGGGUGACCGGCCACAUUGGGACUGAGAUACGGCCCAGACUCCUACGGGAGGCAGCAGUGGGGAAUAUUGCACAAUGGGCGGAAGCCUGAUGCAGCAACGCCGCGUGCGGGAUGACGGCCUUCGGGUUGUAAACCGCUUUCGCCUGUGACGAAGCGUGAGUGACGGUAAUGGGUAAAGAAGCACCGGCUAACUACGUG